rnacentral:lncRNA from 1 species
UUCUACUCUAUCAUUCUCAGAGCUUUAUGACCUCAUUUCUAUUUCCUCCACCCCUUGCACCAUACUCCUCUCAUGUAUAACAUAGAUCAUCGCAACCACAACCAUAACCAAAAGGAUAAGUUAGUGUAAGUAUGACCAAACCUAUCAUUUAUAUAUAAUAUUGGGAUUAAUUUUAAUCCAUUCAAUUCAACCUUUGCAUACUCUCAACAAUAAUCAAAUGUUGACAAAAAACAUAUAUCAAUACAAAGAUAACCACAAUCCUCAUGGCCCACAAGACUUAGAGGAAAAGUGAGAGAAGAAGGUCAAAAGAAGGAAAAGUGAGAGAGGAAGGUGAAAAGAAGGAAAAGUGAGAGAAGGAGGUGGAGAGAUGGAAAUAUGAGAGAAGGAGGAAGAGAAGGAGAAGGAAGAGGGGGAAAAUGAGGAGCCAACAAUGGGACGACAAUGAAAGGUGAUAGAAGUGGUGACGGCAAAGCAAUAGGAAGAGGGAAUAAGGUAUGGGAAGAAGAAAAAAUGGAAAGAUAAAAGGAAGAAGAAGGAGAGAGAAGGAAAAAAGUAAACUAGAUCGCAAUAUUAUUCAACAAUUUUUUCUGUCGAUUUACGAAAGAAUUUUAUUGAUGAAUUUUUUGUUACUAAUUAUAGAUGAAAUUCCUGUUUCGUUGAUAAAAUUUAUUGAUAAGAAUUUUAUCGACAAAUUUUUUAU